AAGAUUGUAAAAACACAGACCAAGCAAAAUACUUUCAGCGAGCAGAUGAUGGUGAGAGAUCUGCAGUCCAUCUUGCUUGGGCUAUCAUUUUACAGAACUUUCGUCUGAAAUCAGUAGGAUGAGACGGCAGUCCACGUUACGGACAAAGAGGGGCAAGAGGAGCAUUAUGCUAUUGUCUUGCCUAAACAAAGGUGGUACCGCGAAUUUUCGUCCUUUUU
rnacentral:ncRNA from 1 species